GUUGAAUCAACUUUGCUUCCCAGGGAUAAAGCCUAAUUCAUUGUGAUGAAUUAGCAUUUUCCUAUGUUGCUGGGUUCAGUCUGCUAGUAUUUUGUUAAGGAUUUUUGCAUCUAUGUUUCUCAAGGAUAUUGGCCUGAAGUUUUCUGUUUUAAACUCUCUUUUAUUGUUGUGUCUCUGCCAGGUUUGGGUAACAGGGUGAUGCUGGCCUUAUAGAAUGAAUUAGAGAAGAGCCCCUCCACCUGAAUUUUUGGGAAUAGUUUCAGCAGGAAUGGUACCAGCUCUUCUGAAUAAGAAAUAACCCAUAUCAGGGCAAGAUUGUUCUCCCUUCAUGUGCGGGCAGUGCAGAGCAGCAAUUUCUCAUCACAGUGGCCUGUCCCAGCAGUGGCCUGUCCUGCCUUCCCCCAAAUUGAGAAAGCUAGUGCGUCCUGUGUCCAGACGAGCUGUCCAUAAGAUUGUUUGCUGUUGGUGUAAACUCCAGGCAAUCAAAGCAAAAAUAGACAAUUAAGAUUACAUCAAGCCAAAAAACUUCUGCACAACAAAGGAAACAAUCAACAAAGUAAAGAGACAACCCACCCAAUGGGAGAAAAUAUUUACAAACCAUCCGUUUGACAAGGGAUUAAUAAUGAGAAUAUAUAAGGAGCUCAAGCAACUGAAUGGGAAAAAAUCAAAAAAUCUGAUUUAAAAAUGGGCAAAAGAUUUGAACAGACAUUUCUCAAAAGAAUACAUACAAAUGGCCAACAGGUAUAUGAAAAAAUGCUCAACAUUACUAAUCAUCAGAGAAAUGCAAACCAAAACCACAAUGAGAUAUCAUCUCACCCUGUUAAAAUGGCUUAUAUCAAGAAGACAGACAAUAACAGACGCUGACAAGGAUAUGGAGAAAGAGAACCCUCAUUCACUACUGGUUGGAAUGUAAAUUUGUACAAUCACUAUGGAGAACAGUUUGGAGGUUCCUCAGAAAACUAAAAAUAAAACUACUAUAUGAUCCAGCAAUCCCAUUACUGGAUAUAUAUCCAAAAGAAAGGAAAUCACUAUAUCAAAGAGGUAUCUACACUCACAUGUUUAUUACAGUGCUAUUCACAAUAGCCAAGGUAUGGAAUCAACCUAAAUACCCAUCAACAGAUGAAUGGAUUAAGAAAUUGGAGUACAUAUAUACAAUGGAAUAUAAUUCAGCCAUAAAAAUGAAUGAAAUCCUGUUAUUUGCAGCAACUUGGAUGGAACUGGAGGCCAUUAUGUUAAGUGGAAUAAACCAGGCACAGAAAGACAAAUAUCAUACGUUCACCCUCAUAUGUGGGAGCUACAAAAAGUGCAUCUCAUGAAGGUAGAGAGGAGAAUGGUGGUUACCAAAGGCCAGGAAGGGAGGGGGGAGGGGAGAAGGCAAGUGGGGGAAAAAGAACAUAAAUAUAUUUAUUGCUAUUGAACUGUACAUUUAAACAUGGUAAAGAGUAAAUUUUAUAUGCAUAUUUUACCUCACUAAAAUCUAUUUUGUAGAGAAUGCAUUUCCCUUGAAAGGGAUUAAUGCUGUCGUGAAGAUGUGUCCAUGAUGCUAUAGGAGCACGUGGUGGAGAGCAACAUUCUUUUCAGGGACUUCCAACCCUCACUGUUAUGAGGGCUAACAUGUGAGAGACCCCAACAUGGGAAGAGGGAGUGCAAGCAUUACUUUUAUUCAUUUUAAACUUUCAAUCAAUUUUAUAAAUAUAUUUUUAGGAGAAAUGCAUGUGUGGCAUAGUUUGUAAGUCCUUACAUAUAUAAAAUGUCUUGUUGCUAAUAGAAGUUAACUGAAACAUAUGAUUUAGGGAGAAAAGAAGCAAAUUAAUACAAUUUCCAUAGAGAACACUGCAGAUUCCCUUUUGUUGUGGAGUAUGAAACCACAAUUUAGGAGGCUAUGUUCCCUAAAAACGUAUAGAUGUUGCUUCAUGAUCUAUUCCUGACCUGUAAAGAAUGUAUGCAUGUAGGCCGGGCGCGGUGGCUCACGCCUACAAUCCCAGCACGUUGGCAGGCCGAGGCGGGCAGGUCAUAAGGUCAGGAGAUCAAGACCAUCCUGGCUAACACGGUGAAACCUCGUCUCUACUAAAAAUACAAAAAAUUAGCCGGGAGUGGUGGUGGGCGCCUGUAGUCCCAGCUACUCCAGGAGGCUGAGGCAGGAGAACGGCGUGAACCCGGGAGGCAGAGCUCGCAGUGAGCCGAGAUCGCACCACUGCACUCCAGCCUGGGCGACAGACCGAGACUCCAUCUCAAAAAAAAAAAAAAAAAGAAAGAAAGAAAAAGAAUGUAUGCAUGUAGAUAAAAGUCUUCACUAUGUGGCAGGUACCAUAAAUAACGAAUAUAACUUGCCCUUGUGAUGUUAUCAAAACUAUAGUUCAAAGAAACAACUGAGAGUAAUCUAGACAGAUAAAAUCCAAUAUAUCUAAAGAAAAAACAUCAGAUUGGCUUAACUUCCACCUCCACAUUAAAUACUCUAAUAUCAUGGAAUAGCAUUUUAAAGCUAUUAAAAAGAAGCAUUGUUUUCUUAUUUUAUAAAGGCGCACAAUUUCCAAAGCAGCCAUACCUGCCCAGGCUAUAAGUUUUCAGUCUUGCACUACUUCUGACCAAAUACCACUUUGAUUCCAUGGCUUUUGUGAGAAAUGUGAAAGGAAUGUCAAUUUGGGAAACCCACCUGGGCAGGAGAGUAACAGUUACUCAAACAGAAGCCCAGUCUGAGUCAUCAUCACACUCUCACCUUAUGCAGAGGCCCUGGGGGAAGGCAAAAACAUUUUCUUUUGAAACUGAAAAUAUAUAGGUGAUCAACAUUUGGUUAUUUUGUCAGGACAAACGUUAUUUUUUAAAGCCUUUAAAUUGAAUAAAAAACUAAUUAUAGUGAUACAUUUUCUUGGUAGUGUUGGCUUUAAAAAAAUUGCAUCAACACUAUAAGGAAAGGAACUCCACAAAUAAAUUGGUAAAAAAAUUUUACUAUUGUAAUUGAGUGUUAUUGUUAUAAAACUCGUAACUCAGUAGGGUCUUCCUGAACACUUUGUUUUCUGUCCAAAAUGGGAAGGGAAAUAGCCGGUGUGCAUGGCACUAGGGACGAGGUUGGACCUGUAGGCUGAGCACAGAACUGAAUAAAGCGGUGUAUUUCUGGGAGAAGGGGAGCAGGAUUAACUAGUAUCAUUGAAAAAUGAAAGCACCUACAUCCAAAAUUUUGUUUUUCCAGGCUGUCAUCGCUAGGCAAUGAUUCCUUGUUUGUUCCCCAUUCCACAUUCUCAAUUGAUACCUUUCGCCGGGCAAUAUUUAUUUUCACUUUAGUAUUUGAAAAGUGAAGGAGAGUAUGCCUGUCCUGUGGGUGACCUGAACAAGGGCAGCACAGCGCAGUCACUGUCAAUGGUUAGGCAUUCGCCACUGCUGGAUGAGUGGCAGAGACGACACUAUGUCUCAACUGUGUGGCUUACUCAAAGAGCUAUGCCACAGCUAAUUGGGUUCACAGAAUUUUUUAGUCCGUUGAUUCAGCUGCAGUGGUUUAGACACAGUCUUUCCUCACAGCAGGGGCCAGGCUGGAGCACUUUCUGAAUGGCUGAAAUGACCAGCAGUAAAACCUAUCAUUCAGAUCGCUCCUUCGGUGCAGACACAACCUGUGAGCACAGGCUGAAAUUAUGGGUUGAAUUGAUGCAGUGUUUCUUUUUUUCCAACGUGGAAAAGCUGAGCAAACUGUGUUUGUUGUUUUGCUAUUUUAGGUACAGCAGAAUGUUUAACUACUAAGUUAAUUUCACAACUUUUUGGACAAUUGUAUAAUAGGAGCAUUUAUAUAAAGACUGUCUUUUUCUUAAUAAAAGAUUUUCUCCCGAAUGUUGAUGAGUGGCUUUCUUACAUCUCUCCGGCUAAGUGUCUCAUCUCAACUCCAUCACCAUGUUAGAUGUGGUUCUUCUGAACCUUUCUGCUCAAACAUCUCCAGAGCCAGGACUCAUCUGUGUGUUACUUAACUCAGAAUACGCCCUAGCUGAGCCAUUUACAAGUCCAC
rnacentral:lncRNA from 10 species